rnacentral:rRNA from 1 species
UACGGGGGGGGCAAGCGUUGUUCGGAAUUACUGGGCGUAAAGGGCUCGUAGGUGGCCAACUAAGUCAGACGUGAAAUCCCCCGGCUUAACCGGGGAACUGCGUCUGAUACUGGAUGGCUUGAGUUCGGGAGAGGGAUGCGGAAUUCCAGGUGUAGCGGUGAAAUGCGUAGAUAUCUGGAGGAACACCGGUGGCGAAGGCGGCAUCCUGGACCGAUACUGACGCUGAGGAGCGAAAGCGUGGGGAGCAAACAGG